AGAAAAAGAUAGAUUUAUUUAUAUAUUUAUAUAUUUUCUUACACUCCUCCUCGUAUAUGGGUCAGACUUUUCUUUAAUAGGGGCCAACAUGUAAAACUUUUAAUAAUGGAGUUAAGUUUAAAAGUGUGAAGAUAUGAUUCGAACUCAAGACCUCUGCUCUGAUACCAUGUUGAAAUCACCACUUAUCCUAAAAACUUAAAUAUAUAAAAUGAGAUAGAUUUAUUUAUAUAUUUUAUAUUUUUUUACCGUCC
rnacentral:lncRNA from 1 species